AUUGAACGCUGGCGGCAGGCCUAACACAUGCAAGUCGAGCGAGCGGCGGACGGGUGCGUAAUGUGUGUGGACUGCCCGAUAGAGGGGGAUAACUACUGGAAACGGUGUCUAAUACCCCAUACUCUCGGAUAACCCAUAUGGGAUUAGCUAGUAGGUAGGGGAAUGGCUUACCUAUGCGACGAUCCCUAGCUGGGGUGAGAGGGUGGUCAUCCACACUGGGGCUGGGACCCGGCCCCGAAUCCUACGGAGGGAGGAGUGGGGAAUAUUGCACAAUGGGCGCAAGGCUGAUGCAACCCUGCCGCGUGUAUGAAGGAGGCCCUAGGGUUUGUAAGGACUUUCAGUCGGGCAGCCUUACCGACAGAAGAAGCACCGGCUUAAUCCGUGCCAGCAGCCGCGGUAAUUC
rnacentral:rRNA from 1 species